rnacentral:rRNA from 1 species
GACGAACGCUGGCGGCGUGCCUAAUACAUGCAAGUAGAACGCACAGUUUAUACCGUAGCUUGCUACACCAUAGACUGUGAGUUGCGAACGGGUGAGUAACGCGUAGGUAACCUGCCUGGUAGCGGGGGAUAACUAUUGGAAACGAUAGCUAAUACCGCAUAAUAUUGAUUAUUGCAUGAUAAUUAAUUGAAAGGUGCAAUUGCACCACUACCAGAUGGACCUGCGUUGUAUUAGCUAGUAGGUGAGGUAACGGCUCAACUAGGCGACGAUACAUAGCCGACCUGAGAGGGUGAUCGGCCAAACUGGGACUGGGACACGGCCCAGACUCCUACGGGAGGCAGCAGUAGGGAAUCUUCGGCAAUGGACGAAAGUCUGACCGAGCAACGCCGCGUGAGUGAAGAAGGUUGUCGGAUCGUAAAGCUCUGUUGUAAGAGAAGAACGGGUGUGAGAGUGGAAAGUUCACACUGUGACGGUAUCUUACCAGAAAGGGACGGCUAACUACGUG